GAGGGAAUAUUGGUUAAUGUGCGAAAGCGCGAACCAGCAACGCCGCGUGUACGAAGAAGGCCUUCGGGUUGUAAAGUACUUUUCACCGGGAAGAGGAAGGACGGUACCGGUGGAAUAAGUCUCGGCUAACUACGUGCCAGCAGCCGCGGUAACACGUAGGAGACGAGCGUUAUCCGGAUUUACUGGGUGUAAAGCGCGUGCAGGCGGUCUGUUAAGUUGGAUGUGAAAGCUCCCGGCUAAACUGGGAGAGGUCGUUCAAAACUGGCAGGCUAGAGUGUGGUAGAGGGGAGUGGAAUUCCGAGUGUAGCGGUAAAAUGCAUAGAUAUUCGGAAGAACACCAGUGGCGAAGGCGACUUCCUGGACCACAACUGACGCUCAGACGCGAAAGCCAGGGUAGCAAACGG
rnacentral:rRNA from 1 species